CUAACACUGAGUCAUCUGUUGGACAUCCAGUGGAGAGACCAAGUGGAAAGUGGAACACAGACAUUCAGGGAGAAGUCUGGGUUGGGGAUACCAACUGAAGUGCCAUCAGCAUGUCGAUGGAAUUUAAAGCUAUGAGACUGAAAAGGAGGGGCCCAAGGACAGGAAGGAGUGACCACCCACGAGGCCAAGUCUCCCACAAUUCAGAGUCCAUCUUGGAUGUCACCUCAUCCGUGAAGACUUUCCUGAUUCCUCUCACCAAAUGAAGUUCCUUCCCUCCUCUGAACCUACGGGACUUCUGCCUCUUGGGGUUAUUGGUAUAAUUGUCUCCUUUCCAUACACCACCAUAAACAACCUGGAAGCACAGGGUUACAUCAGUGUUCUCCGUACCGUGUACCUUGGAUGCUCCAUAAAGCUACAUUAAAGGGAACUGAAUAGGUGCCUGGGGCAGGGGUUCGAAGCUGCUGGUGACAGUGAGCUUGGAGGUUGUCUGUGGAUUUCAGUUUUGAGGAUCUCGCUGUUUCCUGCCUCUGUCCACUCCUGAGUAAUAAACGUUGACUGGCCUCACGAGCAUCUUCCACCUCAUGACCCUGAUGAGGGACCUAGUUGAUUGUCUGUAAGAAACUCAUUUGGGGUCUCUGGCAAGAGAACAAGAGAGGAAACAAGGAGAUAGCCAACAAAAGACAGCUGAACUACAGAAAAUGAUGUGCUAAGAGUCAUGCCACCUAGGCCCGCAUGUUUUGGCUCUUGCCAACUCUCCUUGUUGCCUAAAAAAUAGCAAAAGAACACAUUGCCUUUUUCACUCUGCUUCUCAUCCUUUCAGACACAAUUUUCAAGCCUCAUAGUAUCAGCCACUCUUUAGUUCCCAGGAGAUGGCAUUUUCCCUGGAGGCCUUCAGGCAUCUGCCACACUAGGCUGUCUGUGCAGAGGCAUCUGGCAAACGAUUUCCAGUGGCUGCUCAGCGAUCUCCUUUAGGCGCUGACCAAGGGCAUGGGUAAGAAUCCUUUGUGUUUGGAAAAGGAGGUGGUCCCGGAGGAGGCACGCCUGCUCUGCCUCUGGGUGUGGGGGUGAGAAGCUGCAAAUGAGAAUUACAGCCUCCACAUGGGAUCGUCACAGCUCAGAAUGACAGGACAAUUUCAGGAACUCACAAACUGGCUUCCCUAAGAUCCCAUGCAGAGACAGCACCCAGGAAGUAUGGAAACGAAAGUUGGAAAAUGGCGACUGGUGGGCCACAACUUGAUUGCCCGUGAAAUUUAUUUGGUUGUCCCAGGGUUAUUUUAAUAGGAAAAUUUCACCCAGAAAUCAAGUUUUCCAAUUUCUCUUGAAAAAUUAGAAGACCUGGCAUCAAUCAACGGGAGCUGAAUAGAGGCUGCCCUCUUUAGAUGAGGCACAAAACUUCCAGUUUGCCACACUCCCCUCUACUCCCUAUUGUGGCUUAUCUGGCCCAUUCACUCAUUAUCCAUCUGGCCCAGAAAUUAAUUUUACAAACCCUAUCAUGAAGGUCAUAGAGAGUCAGGAAAUGUCUCAGAGAGCAAGAAAAACAGGUACAGUUUCCUCUACAAGAAAGCAUUCAUUCAUUCAAGAAACACUAAUUGACUGUUAUUGGCACCAAGCAUUGUGCUAGAUGCUGAGGACACAAAAUGAAAAUCAGGGUCUUUGCCCUUAGGAUUUUAAUCUGGUGGUGAGGCAGAGGAAAAAGCCAACAAUCAGAGCAAAAUGUACUACAGAUCCACAAUCCGAAACUCUUGGGGGCAGUUGUAUUUCAGAAUGCAGAACGUUUUUUGCAUUUUAGAAAAGUACUGUGUUAUAUACCCCAUACAUUCUGUAACAGUGCCGGCAGUCUGGGGCAGCACGCUGUCAGCAAACCCAUUAAUGUUUCUAUAGCAAAGCAUAUGAAUACCCACACUAAGUGGAAUAAAGACUACAAACAGCAAGUCAGUUCAGGUCAGGUUUUUGCCAUUAGGUGAGGUGUUUGCCCCAAAUGAGAUUGCUUCACAUUCAUAAAAAAUGGAUUUUGGAAUGGCAGAUAAGGGCUCAUGCCCCUGCCUAGAGGUCCAGGUCUGCCAAAAGUCAGGGAGAGAAGGUUUCCUGGAGGAGAUAGCACUUGAGCUGAAACUCGAAAGAUCAAGAAGAGGGAGAACCUUCCAGCACAGACCAGACGAGCCAUGUGCAAAGACUCAAGCAGCCCACGGGCCCACUACAGCCAGUCCCGAGGGAAGCAGCAUCCUGCUGCUGGGCAGCGGGCACAGGCAGUGCUGACCACCUGUGUCCAAUUCACCUGGGGACACGUGAUGAAAACCAGAAACCCUGGGCCCUCCCCGACAGCCUCUCAGGGAAUGAAGCCCUGCAAACUCCGCUGGAGCAAGCUCUCCAGGAGAUUCUUAUUCACGCUGGAGUCUGAGAACCACUGAUUUCAUCGAAACACCCUGUGCGCCAGACAGUGUUUUAAGCUGCUUUAGAAUUCUGCACAAACGUGACCCACCUAGCAACCUUACUGGCUUCUGUUUGACGAGAUGGAGCCAGAAAGCUGGGACAGGGGGUUGGAGUCAGCUGACCGGAUGGUCAAGCCUGGUGAGCCGUUUGCCCUCUUCUUGUGUCAAUUCCAAAAGGCAGGGUUUGGAAAUAAAGUCAACAGAGAGCUUUUCUUCAUCUCCACAUAAACAGCCGUUCGGCAGUGUUUGGAGAGAGUUGCGCAAUGCUGAAGGAAGCUGAGUCAGGGGAAACAUCGGCUUUGACUUGUAAAUUUCUGAAGCCGGCUUUGGUUUCCAUGUUUCUAGCAGCACACCUAUAGCUCACAUCAAAAAGAAAAUGCUCCAGGCUUGUGUGUAUCCCUCUCCCCAUUCCCAUCCACCCCACCAUGGAAUUACCACAGGCAUCAGGGAAUCUUCUAGAACAUUCUACCUUCUCCCUUUACACUGUGUGUCUGUCAUUGACGCACCAACCAUCACCAAAACCUCUCUUUGAUGGCCCCAGAGUUCGUGCUCAUGGGCACCUGCUCUCUAGCUUAGGCCACUUCAGAGAGGACUGGAAUCACACAUGAAGCAAGAAAAAUAGCCAAAUGCCAGGGGCAGGCAUAGCAACCAUCUACUUAGAGAAUUUUAAAAAUAGAGAGGGAACAUUAGACAUUAUUUGCUCCAAACCCCUUGCUUUACAGAUGAGGAAACUAAGGCUCCAAGAGGGAAGGUUUCUUGACCAAAGUACCAGUUAGCAGCAAACGGGGUAAACCAGUGCCCCCUCACCCCAAGCCCAGUGGAUUGGAUUUUUCCACCACAAUAUUUGGCCUCUUAUCAUUUGUUCCCAGUUCGUAUUCUCAGUCAUCCAUCCAGCCUGUUACUUAUUCUCUCUGGAGUAUUUUCUAUGACCCAAGUGAUGUGGGCUGGACCCUGGGGAUGAACUGAUGACAAGACCUGUCCUUUCCUUCAAGGGGCUCCCAUGGAACUCUGCAUGGUUUCUCCCUCCUUCCUCCCUACUCCUUUCAGAAACGGUAUUGGGUGUGAUGUCACCCGCAACCAAUUAAAGCAGAAUUUCUGGGGCUGAGGUCCCGACGUUGAUAUUUUUUAAAUCUCCCCAAGCGAACUGAAUUCUGUAGCCAAAGUUUAGAAGCACAACUUGAGAUCACAGCUUUGGGGAAGUCAGGGACCCCGGUUCUACCUCAUUUGGCUCCUUGGAGCCUCUCUCCUGGCUGCAGAGGAAGACAGCAGGGGUGUCAGAGCACCGUCACAACUGUCAGACUCCCUCACCUGUCACCUGCGCAAAAAGGAGGGCAGUGCAUCCGCCCAGCAAAACCUCUGGGGCCUGAGGCCACUAAAAUGAAAAGAAUGACUUCCCGCCAUAAGCAGCUCUAAAGGAAAAGACCAAAACAGCUGAAAAAGCAGCUGGAAUUUAAAACGUGCACGGAGCAGAUAUGGCAGGGCCAGCUCAGGGGAGCUGCUUUUCUCUUAAAGGGACUCAAGUCAAGAGCUCACAAUGGGCCCUGCCGUUCUGUUUAAUUGACCCGGGAAAUGUGUGAUGUGCUGUCAGAAAGCACAGGCCAGCUUCCUGCAAAAUCGCUGAAAACAUUCAUGACAGUCAAAGGUAUGAAAUAAAUUAGUGAAGGAGUGGGCUUCUGGUAAGAUCCUUGCUCUCUCCCUGAAUGCAGUCUGUCAUUCCAAAUGACUCACACACUGACAAGGAAGACUAAAAAUAUUCAAGCAUGACAUUUGCAUCUAUUAAAUAGUCAUUUUGUCGCACAUGGAUGGAAAUUGGGUUUUCUAAAGGUUACCGAGAAUUAUCUGCCUCUGCUGCUGGGUAUUUGUGGCUUCAAAAUGAACUCAAGUGCGGAGGACGCUCAGAUGGGCUCAGUGGGCCUCAGAAUCCAGUCUUUCAUUCAUUUAUUAGCAGCAGCCAUAAGAUUCAAGUAUGUGACGGUAGAGGGAGAAGUGCCUGGUGGAGGAGGCUGCCCCCGGCCCGCCCCAGGGAGGCAACUGAGCAGAGGGUGGCCAGACGCCCUGCUGUCUGAGCCACGGGUGCUGCUGCUGUAUUCCAAACUCUGGAAAGCAACUGACUUUUCUUUGCUUCUCUUAAAUAGACAUCAGGUUUUCUUCUAGGUGCCUAAGGUGAGUCAGCUUGUGCUGUGGCUCCUCGGAUGGUGUCACCCGGGACAGAUGAGUGAAUUCAGAGCCCCUCAUUCUACAAAUCAGACCUAGAGUGUGUCUUCCCCUGGUCCAUUUCCCAAACCAAGGCUGGGCCACGGCUGGCCCUCACCCUCUGCAGUAAGACCCGCUAAGGGACAUGGGGCAGAGGAGCCAGCACUUGACUCAAUGGGAACCAGCAGGAGGAUUUCUGCCCCCAAGAUGCAGAGGGAGGAGGAAGUCCCUAACCGGACAAGAGCGAGGCAGUUGGAAGAAAUGCCCUGUCUGGAGGACUCUGCUUCCCCAGGUGUCCUGGGCAGAGUGAAGAGAACGUCCCCCUGCGUCCCCACUGAGACAGCCGAGUUCAGAUCACCGGCCGGGGGGAGCAGUCUGGCUUUGGGGCACGCCGCUUCUGGUGCCGAAAGAGGUUGAGUUCCAAGACAGGACAGCAGUCUUCAAGAGGCAGAGGCUGUGUUCAGACUACGAAAGUUCUGGAAAUGCGCUCUGAAGAAUUUACCCACAGAUGGACUCAAACCAGACAUGUGGCCUGAGAGCUGCAGGGAGGUGCCUGGCAGCAUCGUUUGAACUCGCCAAAGACUGAAUGGACUGGGAACGGUUUAAACAAACGAUACUCUGCUCUUACAACGGACGUGCGGGCAGCCAGAAGGAGUUGAGAAGGCUCAACCCACAGAGUGUAAACACAAAAUUUCUUUGUUGCCCCCAAAUCGCUGCUCUCAGCUGGCCUCUGUAUAAUCUCCCUUUACUGUCCCUUACUGCCAACUUGGGCAGAGUUUGCAACUUUCCAGUAUUGAAAUGUGUCCACUUCUCUGUAAAACUCCAACCUCUUUAAUGAUUCAACCCCAUCCCCACUGGCUGGGAGGGGUGGUGUGGCCUAGUUCUAGGAUCUCCCCUCUUCCCCCUCUUCUGAUAUGCGGGGCGGGGAGAAGCCAUGUGGCAGAGUCCGCUCAUUGUCUGGGGGGUGGUCCGUGGCACGGGGUCCUGGUCUCCACUCCAAUGAGGAAGGGGUCUGUGAGGAUCCUGGUGGUCUCUGAGUAGGCGGUGGGUGUGCCUUUAUGGGAGUGGUGUUCAGUUUCACCCUAAGUCUUCUGUCACUGGAGACCUGCCAGAGAAGGCUACCGUGUCUCCUGGUGGUCCAGACUGGAGGGUGCAAGCCCGCCUCUAGGCAUCCCUUGGCCCAGCCCUCUUUCAUCUUUUCUGUGCCUUACAGUGAAGUUCAGGGAAAGCUCAGGGGGAUCCUCUUGGCACCCACUGAGGCCUGGGGAAUUGGGAUGUAAGGUCUGUCCUCCUUUUCUUCCCAGACCUAACACCCUACACCCCCACAGGUCCCUUAUACCUGCUGGCACAGGCUCCCAGGGGUAUCCAGCCUCUGUGUGCACACGGCUGCGGGGAGCAUGUCAAGCUGUCUCCAGCACUCUCUCACCACGUACUUCCAUGGCACGUCCUCACAUGGGCCCUCAGUUCUGUGGCUCAGAAAGCAAUGGGCUGGAAAACAAGAUACUUUUCUUUUCCAGUGUGGCUUCACAAGUGACUUGGGGAUCCCUUUGCCCAUCCACCUUCUUGGCCUGGGGUAGGAGGUGGGCAGGAAGCAUUUGAGGAGGAAGGGAAGUAAUGUCUCACCAGAAGCACUGCGCACCCCACAAACUGACCCUUCAUUUCCUCCCAGCCCAGUGCUCACCCCACAUACACAGGGUCAGGUGGGGUGGGUUGGUGGUUCCUCUGAGGAGGUGCCGCAGGCUGGUCAAACUCUCCUUUGAAUGCCCGGACACCUAGCAGCUUUAGUUUACAGCUUUGGCCAUUGGUUGGAAUUCCAGAACAAUGGGAAAAGUCCCACACAACAUUCUAUCACUUAGCCCAGAAAAGAGUAAAGAGGCUUUCCGUAUACCGACACAAAAUGGUCUCAAAGAUAUAUCGUGAAAUAAAGGCAAAGUUCAGAACACUAAACAUUACGGCCCCAAUUUGUAUUUAUUUUCAAGUAAUUUUAUUGGGAUUAUAAUGGCUUAUCAAAUUGUGUAAUUUCAAGUCUACAUUAUUGUUUAUCAAUUCCUGAAUACACUUCAUCAUGCUCAGCCCCAGUACCCAAUCUGUAUUUAAAAGGUGGUUAUAAUAUAUGUAUGUGUGUCUAUGUUCAUAGUCUGUACAAGAAACUAAUAACAAUGGUUGCUUUGGGGAUGGAGCCUGGGGUCCCUCUUUUCCCUGGAGGCCUCUAUGAAUGGUUCACACCAGGUCCGCAAUUAGAGGUAACGACCACCCCCAGGCUGGAAAGGGAGAGAGAAGGGCAAAUUACAUGUGCCUUUAUGUCCACUUAGCAAAAGUAAGUCAUGAGCAAAGUCGUGAGGAGAUGACUGUGGCCAGCAUGUGGGUGCGUACCAGCGAGAAGUGGGCGUUGGUGCCGGCAAAAGGAGAAUCACAUGCUACUUUUAUAAAAAUAAAUUUCCUCAUCAUGCAAGACCAGCUUCUGAAGAGGAUGAGAGGCAGCUUGCAAUAAAAGGUACCAGUGAUUUCAUAUCCUUAAAAACAGAGGAGAAGGAACAAGAGCCAAUGGAAAAAUGGAGAGAUGGAGAAACGAUUGCAUCUAGAACUUUGGACACAAAUUUAGCUCUCAUACUCACAUCCAAAUUACUUGGUCGUAUGCUGUCUCAUUUAAACAUCAGCCACUACAGGAGGGACUGUUACGAGCCCUGCUUUGUGGGGUGAGAAAGCUGCCUUGGUCAUGUCUCACAGCCAGGCAGUGUGGUAGAGGGGGACCAGACAAUUUUUUUUCUAAUUCUGAGUGUGAUUCUUUCUCCCACGCACAUUCCAUUAGUCUCUUGCCCUGAAGGGAUUAAUAAGAGUAUUAUCAAAAGCUGACGUUUAUUGGUGCCACUGGAUGCCACGUACAUAUAUAGGAAGCCCUUCCCGACUUACGUGCAUUGUCUCAAUCUAUCCUCUCACUAACAUUGUAUAUUCCCUUUUAUAAUUUCAAUUUCGAACCAUAGUAAUAUAACACCAGCUCCAAAAGAUAAGUUUAAGAAAUCUUACCAGAUUUGCUGCCUGG
rnacentral:lncRNA from 1 species